rnacentral:rRNA from 1 species
UGCAGUCGAGCGGUACAGAGAGAAGCUUGCUUCUUUGCUGACGAGCGGCGGACGGGUGAGUAAUACUUGGGAACUUGCCUCUAGGCGGGGGACAACCACUGGAAACGGUGGCUAAUACCGCAUAAUGUCUACGGACCAAAGUGGGGGACCUUCGGGCCUCACACCUAGAGAUGGGCCCAAGUGGGAUUAGCUAGUUGGUGAGGUAAAGGCUCACCAAGGCGACCAUCCCUAGCUGUUCUGAGAGGAUGAUCAGCCACACUGGGACUGAGACACGGCCCACACUCCUACGGGAGGCAGCAGUGGGGAAUAUUGCACAAUGGGCGCAAGCCUGAUGCAGCCAUGCCGCGUGUGUGAAGAAGGCCUUCGGGUUGUAAAGCACUUUCAGUGGUGAGGAAGGUCAGUAAGUUAAUAGCUUGCUGAAUUGACGUUAGCCACAGAAGAAGCACCGGCUAACUCCGUGCCAGCAGGCGCGGUAAUACGGAGGGUGCAAGCGUUAAUCGGAAUUACUGGGCGUACAGCGUACGUAGGCGGUGUGUUAAGCAAGAUGUGAAAGCCCCGGGCUCAACCUGGGAAUUGCAUUUUGAACUGGCACGCUAGAGUCCUGAAGAGGGUGGUAGAAUUUCCAGUGUAGCGGUGAAAUGCGUAGAUAUUGGAAGGAAUACCAGUGGCGAAGGCGGCAACCUGGUCAGAGACUGACGCUGAGGUACCAAAGCGUGGGGAGCAAACAGGAUUAGA